GCGCUCGUAGCUCAGGGGAUAGAGCAUAAGCUUGCGGAGCUUGGGGUCGCAGGUUCGAAUCCUGCCGGGCGCACCA
rnacentral:tRNA from 1 species